rnacentral:rRNA from 1 species
GUGCCUAAUACAUGCAAGUCAAGCGAACGGACGAGAGUGCUUGCACUCUCUGAUGUUAGCGGCGGACGGGUGAGUAACACGUGGGUAACCUACCUAUAAGACUGGGAUAACUUCGGGAAACCGGAGCUAAUACCGGAUAAUAUUUAACUUCGCAUGAAGCAAUAGUGAAAGACGGUUCUGCUGUCACUUAUAGAUGGACCCGCGGUGUAUUAGCUAGUUGGUGAGGUAACGGCUCACCAAGGCAACGAUACAUAGCCGACCUGAGAGGGUGAUCGGCCACACUGGGACUGAGACACGGCCCAGACUCCUACGGGAGGCAGCAGUAGGGAAUCUUCCGCAAUGGACGAAAGUCUGACGGAGCAACGCCGCGUGAGUGAAGAAGGUUUUCGGAUCGUAAAACUCUGUUGUAAGGGAAGAACAAGUACAUUAGUAACUGAACGUACCUUGACGGUACCUUACCAGAAAGCCACGGCUAACUACGUGCCAGCAGCCGCGGUAAUACGUAGGUGGCAAGCGUUAUCCGGAAUUAUUGGGCGUAAAGCGCGCGUAGGCGGUCUCUUAAGUCUGAUGUGAAAGCCCCCGGCUCAACCGGGGAGGGUCAUUGGAAACUGGGAGACUUGAGUGCAGAAGAGGAGAGUGGAAUUCCAUGUGUAGCGGUGAAAUGCGCAGAGAUAUGGAGGAACACCAGUGGCGAAGGCGGCUCUCUGGUCUGUAACUGACGCUGAGGUGCGAAAGCGUGGGGAUCAAACAGGAUUAGAUACCCUGGUAGUCCACGCCGUAACGAUGAGUGCUAAGUGUUGGGGGGUUUCCGCCCCUCAGUGCUGCAGCUAAACGCAUUAAAGCACUCCGCCUGGGGAGUACGGUCGCAAGACUGAAACUC